rnacentral:rRNA from 1 species
UGGGGAAUAUUGCACAAUGGGGGAAACCCUGAUGCAGCGACGCCGCGUGAGUGAAGAAGUAUUUCGGUAUGUAAAGCUCUAUCAGCAGGGAAGAAAGAAAUGACGGUACCUGACCAAGAAGCCCCGGCUAACUACGUGCCAGCAGCCGCGGUAAUACGUAGGGGGCAAGCGUUAUCCGGAUUUACUGGGUGUAAAGGGAGCGUAGACGGUAAUGCAAGUCUGGAGUGAAAUGCAGGGGCUCAACCCCUGAACUGCUUUGGAAACUGUAUGACUGGAGUGCAGGAGAGGUAAGUGGAAUUCCUAGUGUAGCGGUGAAAUGCGUAGAUAUUAGGAGGAACACCAGUGGCGAAGGCGGCUUACUGGACUGUAACUGACGUUGAGGCUCGAAAGCGUGGGGAGCAAACAGG